rnacentral:rRNA from 1 species
GACGAACGCUGGCGGCGUGCUUAACACAUGCAAGUCGAACGGAAGGGCCCUGCUUUUGUGGGGUGCUCGAGUGGCGAACGGGUGAGUAACACGUGAGUAACCUGCCCUUGACUUUGGGAUAACUUCAGGAAACUGGGGCGAAUACCGGAUAGGAGCUCCUGCUGCAUGGUGGGGGUUGGAAAGUUUCGGCGGUUGGGGAUGGACUCGCGGCUUAUCAGCUUGUUGGUGGGGUAGUGGCUUACCAAGGCUUUGACGGGUAGCCGGCCUGAGAGGGUGACCGGCCACAUUGGGACUGAGAUACGGCCCAGACGCCUACGGGAGGCAGCAGUGGGGAAUAUUGCACAAUGGGCGGAAGCCUGAUGCAGCAACGCCGCGUGCGGGAUGACGGCCUUCGGGUUGUAACCCGCUUUCGCCUGUGACGAAGCGUGAGUGACGGUAAUGGGUAAAGAAGCACCGGCUAACUACGUG